rnacentral:tRNA from 1 species
AUUUAUAUAGUUUAUAAAAAAACAUUUUAUUUUCAUUAAAAAAAAAGAAUAUUAAUCUUAUAAAUU